rnacentral:lncRNA from 1 species
UAUGAGAAAGGUACGGUAACCUAAUUAUAUAUUUACCUCUAGGGGGAGAUGUUGGAUGAAGUAUCUCCUGAGGUAAAGAUUUGAAUGCACUUCACGUGGACCACCACGUGAGAGUGAGACUCAGCCAACGCCAAGGCAUGGCUAAAAUUUCGGAUGUAAAGACAUUUAACAGCCGUGACGGACUCGGUUGGGAUAACUCUCGAUCAAGGUAUCCCUAAUAACUGAGUAUGACAAUGAUUUUUGGUACGAGCCGAGCUUUUCAGGAAAUCAUAAGCCUAGUUGUUUAUUUGGUUGAAAUGAGUUGAAAGGUAAUGAAAUUACAGUAUGAUGACUUAUUUUAAUUCGUCUCCAUUUACUCGCCUUUAGAUAGUUUAGAUGGUGUCUGUUUACUCACUGAGAUUUUAUAAUCUCACCACCCUCAUUUCCUCACAUUUCGGGCUCGGGAAAUUUCAUAGUUAGCUGACUUUGACAAGGACCUUCAUUUGGACUUGAAUCGGCAAAAGCUGUAGGUUUUCAGCUUCCGAUACAUUUUGGUUAGAUGUGGGCCCACGUGUCG